rnacentral:rRNA from 1 species
GACGAACGCUGGCGGUGUGCUUAACACAUGCAAGUCGAACGGAAAGGCCCUGCUUUUGUGGUGUGCCCGAGUGGCGAACGGGUGAGUAACACGUGAGUAACCUGCCCUUGACUUUGGGAUAACUUCAGGAAACUGGGGCUAAUACCGUAUAGGAGCUCCUGCUGCAUGGUGGGGGUUGGAAAGUUUCGGCGGUUGGGGAUGGACUCGCGGCUUAUCAGCUUGUUGGUGGGGUAGUGGCUUACCAAGGCUUUGACGGGUAGCCGGCCUGAGAGGGUGACCGGCCACAUUGGGACUGAGAUACGGCCCAGACUGCUACGGGAGGCAGCAGUGGGGAAUAUUGCACAAUGGGCGGAAGCCUGAUGCAGCAACGCCGCGUGCGGGAUGACGGCCUUCGGGUUGUAAACCGCUUUCGCCUGUGACGAAGCGUGAGUGACGGUAAUGGGUAAAGAAGCACCGGCUAACUACGUG